rnacentral:rRNA from 1 species
CCUACGGGUGGCAGCAGUGGGGAAUAUUGCACAAUGGGCGAAAGCCUGAUGCAGCAACGCCGCGUGAGCGAUGAAGGCCUUCGGGUCGUAAAGCUCUGUCCUCAAGGAAGAUAAUGACGGUACUUGAGGAGGAAGCCCCGGCUAACUACGUGCCAGCAGCCGCGGUAAUACGGAGGGUGCGCGCGUUAAUCGGAAUUACUGGGCGUAAAGCGCUCGUAGGCUGUAUGUCAAGUCAAGGGUGAAAUCCCCGCGCUCAAGGUGGGAACUGCCUUUGAAACUGGCAACCUGGAGGGUGUGAGAGGAGAGUGGAAUUACAGGUGUAGGAGUGAAAUCCGUAGAUAUCUGGAGGAACACCAGUGGCGAAGGCGACUAUCUGGCACAUAACUGACGCUGAGGAGCGAAAGCGUGGGUAGCAAACAGGAUUAGAUACCCCAGUAGUC